CAAAGGAGGCGACUCCGGUGACGGAUGGGCAUGCGGCGCAUUAGGUAGUUGGUAGGGUAACGGCCUACCAAGCCGACGAUGCGUAGGGGUUCUGAGAGGAAGGUCCCCCACAUUGGAACUGAGACACGGUCCAAACUCCUACGGGAGGCAGCAGUGAGGAAUAUUGGUCAAUGGCCGGAAGGCUGAACCAGCCAAGUCGCGUGAGGGAAUAAGGCCCUAUGGGUCGUAAACCUCUUUUGUCAGGGAGCAAAGGCGUCCACGUGUGGACGAGAGGAGAGUACCUGAAGAAAAAGCAUCGGCUAACUCCGUGCCAGCAGCCGCGGUAAUACGGAGGAUGCGAGCGUUAUCCGGAUUUAUUGGGUUUAAAGGGUGCGUAGGCGGAGUGUCAAGUCAGCGGUAAAAUUUCGGGGCUCAACCCCGUCGUGCCGUUGAAACUGACACCCUUGAGUGAGUGAGAAGUAAGCGGAAUGCGUGGUGUAGCGGUGAAAUGCAUAGAUAUCACGCAGAACGCCGAUUGCGAAGGCAGCUUACCGGCGCUCAACUGACGCUGAGGCACGAAAGUGCGGGUAUCAAACAGGAUUAGAUACCCUGGUAGUCCGCACAGU
rnacentral:rRNA from 1 species